AGUGAACGCUGGCGGUAGGCCUAACACAUGCAAGUCGAACGGCAGCACAGUAAGAGCUUGCUCUUACGGGUGGCGAGUGGCGGACGGGUGAGGAAUACAUCGGAAUCUACUUUUUCGUGGGGGAUAACGUAGGGAAACUUACGCUAAUACCGCAUACGACCUACGGGUGAAAGCAGGGGAUCUUCGGACCUUGCGCGAUUGAAUGAGCCGAUGUCGGAUUAGCUAGUUGGCGGGGUAAAGGCCCACCAAGGCGACGAUCCGUAGCUGGUCUGAGAGGAUGGUCAGCCACACUGGAAGUGAGACACGGUCCAGACUCCUACGGGAGGCAGCAGUGGGGAAUAUUGGACAAUGGGCGCAAGCUUGAUCCAGCCAUACCGCGUGGAUGAAGAAGGCCUUCGGGUUGUAAAGCCCUUUUGUUGGGAAAGAAAAGCAGCAGGUUAAUACCCCGCUGUUCUGACGGUACCCAAAGAAUAAGCACCGGCUAACUUCGUG
rnacentral:rRNA from 1 species